rnacentral:rRNA from 1 species
GUGCCAGAAGCCGCGGUAAUACGUAGGGCGCAAGCGUUGUCCGGAAUUAUUGGGCGUAAAGAGCUCGUAGGCGGCUUGUCACGUCGGAUGUGAAAGCCCGGGGCUUAACCCCGGGUCUGCAUUCGAUACGGGCUAGCUAGAGUGUGGUAGGGGAGAUCGGAAUUCCUGGUGUAGCGGUGAAAUGCGCAGAUAUCAGGAGGAACACCGGUGGCGAAGGCGGAUCUCUGGGCCAUUACUGACGCUGAGGAGCGAAAGCGUGGGGAGCGAACAGGAUUAGAUACCCUGGUAGUCCACGCCGUAAACGUUGGGAACUAGGUGUUGGCGACAUUCCACGUCGUCGGUGCCGCAGCUAACGCAUUAAGUUCCCCGCCUGGGGAGUACGGCCGCAAGGCUAAACUCAAAGGAAUUGACGGGGGCCCGCACAAGCAGCGGAGCAUGUGGCUUAAUUCGACGCAACGCGAAGAACCUUACCAAGGCUUGACAUAUGCCGGAAAGCAUCAGAGAUGGUGCCCCCCUUGUGGUCGGUAUACAGGUGGUGCAUGGCUGUCGUCAGCUCGUGUCGUGAGAUGUUGGGUUAAGUCCCGCAACGAGCGCAACCCUUGUUCUGUGUUGCCAGCAUGCCCUUCGGGGUGAUGGGGACUCACAGGAGACUGCCGGGGUCAACUCGGAGGAAGGUGGGGACGACGUCAAGUCAUCAUGCCCCUUAUGUCUUGGGCUGCACACGUGCUACAAUGGCCGGUACAAUGAGCUGCGAUGCCGCGAGGCGGAGCGAAUCUCAAAAAGCCGGUCUCAGUUCGGAUUGGGGUCUGCAACUCGACCCCAUGAAGUCGGAGUUGCUAGUAAUCGCAGAUCAGCAUUGCUGCGGUGAAUACGUUCCCGG